UACCGGUAAAGGGCCAGCCCGAAGGCCGGUAAAACCGGAGUGAGGGGCGGAGCCGCCGAGUGCAAAGGAAACUGCAUUUCCUGAGAUUCUGGAGCUGCUUCCCCUUUAUCAAAGGAGCCACGUCAUUUCCCUUACCACUGGCAGAAGGAACAUGGCUGUCUGAGGUGCCUGUCAGCAUAGGGAAGCGCACACUAGCCUCCAGCUCUGGGCUCUUCCGGAUGCCUCUGACUGUUCCCUCCCUCAUAGCUACAAUAAAGAUCAUGGUGGCACAUGCUUUUAAUAACCUGCGCUCAGGAGCCAGAGGCAAGAGGAUCUCUUGUGAGUUUGAGGACAGCCUGAACUAUACAGCAAGCUCCAAGACCAACAGGACAGCAUAAAGAGACCCCGUUUCAAAAAACCAGUCGGGGCUGGAGAGAUGCUGGAGAGAUGGCACAGCAGUUAAGAGCACUGGCUGCUCUUCCAGAGGUUCUGAGUUCACAGGAAGAAAAAAAUUAUGCCAAAAAGAAAAAAAAAGACCCCAGGAGUUCUAGAGGCUGGAGGUCUAAAACUCAAGUUACUGGUAGGGCCAUGCUCCCUUGAAGCCUGCUAGGCGGAAGGCACACUUGCUGGACACCCUUGGAAUUCCAGUGACUCGUAGAUCCAUCACUCCAGCCUUUGGACACCCCAUCAUGUCACAUGACACAACCAUCUCUCCUGUGGGUCUUUCCUAACACUACUCAUACAUAAAAUAAGCAAAUAAAUCUUUUAAAAAAAGAA